rnacentral:tRNA from 1 species
GGACUUGUAGCUCAGUCGGUUAGAGCAACAGACUCAUAAUCUGGAGGUCCUAGGUUCAAGCCCUAGCUGGUCCA